GUGAGGAAUUUUCCGCAAUGGGCGAAAGCCUGACGGAGCAAUGCCGCGUGAAGGAUGAAGGCCUAUGGGUUGUAAACUUCUUUUCUCAGAAAAGAAUUAUGACGGUAUCUGAGGAAUAAGCAUCGGCUAACUCUGUGCCAGCAGCCGCGGUAAGACAGAGGAUGCAAGCGUUAUCCGGAAUGAUUGGGCGUAAAGCGCCUGUAGGUUGUUUAAAAAGUAUUCUGUCAAAGAUUAGGGCUUAACCCUAGAUAGGCAGAAUAAACUUUUAAGAUAGAGUUUGGUAGAGGCAGAGGGAAUUCCCGGUGGAGCGGUGAAAUGCGUAGAUAUCGGGAGGAACACCAAAGGCGAAGGCACUCUGCUGGGCCAAUACUAACACUGAGAGACGAAAGCGAGGGGAGCAAAUGGGAUUAGAAACCCGGGUAGUCC
rnacentral:rRNA from 1 species